rnacentral:lncRNA from 1 species
AGUCUGAAGCUUUUAUUCAGUGGGUCUCUGUGUCUAGAAGAAGGUGUUUGGCCUCUUGGUGGUGAAGCGUGGUUUGUGCUGGCGCCGCAACACACGGUGGGGCAAUGGGAACUUGAUCUUGGAGUCCUGUGGGGAGGGAGGAGAUGCAUGUCCAGGGACUGUCCAUGCGCAACCACCCCCUGCAGCCCUGCGUCAGCCCCACACUCAGGUUCACUCACGUGGAACUGCUUGACAGCUGGCCGGCGGCACUUGCCAGCUGCAAUCUCUUCCACCUUCAUGAUCUGGAUGGAGUGCGCACGGGCACGGUGUCGGGCACCCAUGUCUCGGUCUGUGGAAAGAGAAGAAAGUCAGCCCCAGCCACCCAGAACACCCACAGAACUGUAGAACCUCCUGAUUCACUCUGGAGGGCACUGCACAGCCCCCCAAAGGCGACGAAGCACUUUGCUGUGUGCACCACUGUUUAAACAGCCGCUAUAGUAGCGGCAGUUCUUGGGUUGGGUGCCAAGGGUUGACAGAGGGUUGGUGACUCACAGCACUGUGUGACCGCGCCGGCAGUGGUCAGGUCCCGGUACUCUCGGUACAUGUUGUGAGUGCCACUUCGGGAAUCAUAGCGCAGCCAGAUGCCGAAGUUCUUCACACGCAGGGGUGACUUCUCAAACACCUGUGGGGAGUAAGGAGGAUGUGAGGCUUGUGUACUGCCCUGGCUCUGAUGGUACCCAGGGACCGUCAUCCGGUGGGGCCCCAAGGCUCACCUGCCCACAGUAC